rnacentral:rRNA from 1 species
UACGGAGGGGCUAGCGUUGUUCGGAAUUACUGGGCGUAAAGCGCACGUAGGCGGCUUUGUAAGUUAGAGGUGAAAAGCCCAGGGCUCAACCCUGGAAUUGCCUUUAAGACUGCAUCGCUAGGAAAUUGUGGAGAGGUAAGGUGGAAUUCCGGAAGUGUAGAGGUGAAAUUCGUAGAUAUUCGGAAGAACACCAGUGGCGAAGGCGGCUCACUGGCCCGGUACGUGACGCUGAGGUGCGAAAGCGUGGGGAGCAAACAGGG